AGCGAACGCUGGCGGCAGGCUUAACACAUGCAAGUCGAGCGCCCCGCAAGGGGAGCGGCAGACGGGUGAGUAACACGUGGGAACGUGCCUUUUGGUCCGGAACAACCCAGGGAAACUUGGGCUAAUACCGGAUAAGCCCUUACGGGGAAAGAUUUAUCGCCAAAAGAUCGGCCCGCGUCUGAUUAGCUAGUUGGUGGGGUAAUGGCCCACCAAGGCUACGAUCAGUAGCUGGUCUGAGAGGAUGAUCAGCCACAUUGGGACUGAGACACGGCCCAAACUCCUACGGGAGGCAGCAGUGGGGAAUAUUGGACAAUGGGGGCAACCCUGAUCCAGCCAUGCCGCGUGAGUGAUGAAGGCCUUAGGGUUGUAAAGCUCUUUUAGCAGGGAAGAUAAUGACGGUACCUGCAGAAAAAGCCCCGGCUAACUUCGUGCCAGCCGCCGCGGUAACAC
rnacentral:rRNA from 1 species